rnacentral:tRNA from 1 species
AAGAAUUUAGUUAAAUAAUAACAUUAGUAUGUCAUACUGAAAUUACAUCCUAUGUAAUUCUUU